rfam:Physcomitrella patens subsp. patens PHYPAscaffold_150 genomic scaffold, whole genome shotgun sequence.
UAAGAGGCUUUUAUAAAAGCCAUAUUUAAUUUUUUUAUAUUAUUAU